UACGAAGGGGGCUAGCGUUGUUCGGAAUUACUGGGCGUAAAGCGCGCGUAGGCGGACUGGCAAGUCGGGGGUGAAAUGCCGAGGCUCAACCUCGGAACUGCCUUCGAUACUGCCAGUCUUGAGGUCGGGAGAGGUGAGUGGAACUCCGAGUGUAGAGGUGAAAUUCGUAGAUAUUCGGAAGAACACCAGUGGCGAAGGCGGCUCACUGGCCCGGAUUCUGACGCUGAGGCGCGAAAGCGUGGGGAGCAAACAGG
rnacentral:rRNA from 1 species